UGAUCUUGCAACACAAUAAUUCCUGGUUUCGGGUGACCAGAACUCACAUUGUGUUUAAUAUUAUGUCUUACUGAUUUUGUGUUUGUUCAAAGGAGAGAACCCACUGACAGCCGGUGUGUACAUGGUAGCAGUAGACCAGAUGAUUGUAAAUGACCAUCUCUUGAGUUUUACAGAAGCCCUGUAUCUGAUGUUCUCUCUUUACUAUAUAUUGAACAUCAGUUACCCUGUAGAACUGGGAGCCACACUAGAAUUCUUGCAAAGGUGCAUCUUUAGGAUAAAUCCUCAUAAAGGUACCAAGGUGGAAAAGAGAGAGAAAAAGAGAGCGUACUCUGUCAACCCCAGAGUAUUAAGUCUGACGUCAAAAAUUGCUGCAUUUGACUGGGGAGAGUAACAGAUGUGGUCUUUCAGAAGACUGACAUUUCGCUGAAGAACAGGACAAGACCGACUUUUUGUACUUCAGUGCAGCGCUUUGUUCCUUAAAUCAUUUUUAUUACCUUGUGAUGUGAU